rnacentral:rRNA from 1 species
AUUGAACGCUGGCGGCAUGCCUUACACAUGCAAGUCGAACGGCAGCGGACCUUCGGGUGCCGGCGAGUGGCGAACGGGUGAGUAAUGCAUCGGAACGUGCCAUUGAGUGGGGGGAUAACGUAGCGAAAGUUGCGCUAAUACCGCAUAUUCUGUGAGCAGGAAAGCAGGGGACCGCAAGGCCUUGCGCUCUUUGAGCGGCCGAUGUCAGAUUAGCUAGUUGGUGAGGUAACGGCUUACCAAGGCGACGAUCUGUAGCGGGUCUGAGAGGAUGAUCCGCCACACUGGAACUGAGACACGGUCCAGACUCCUACGGGAGGCAGCAGUGGGGAAUUUUGGACAAUGGGGGCAACCCUGAUCCAGCCAUGCCGCGUGAGUGAAGAAGGCCUUCGGGUUGU